UACGGAGGGGGCUAGCGUUGUUCGGAAUUACUGGGCGUAAAGCGCACGUAGGCGGCUUUGUAAGUUAGAGGUGAAAGCCCGGGGCUCAACUCCGGAAUUGCCUUUAAGACUGCAUCGCUAGAAUUGUGGAGAGGUAAGUGGAAUUCCGAGUGUAGAGGUGAAAUUCGUAGAUAUUCGGAAGAACACCAGUGGCGAAGGCGACUUACUGACAGCA
rnacentral:rRNA from 1 species